AAUGAACGUUGGCGGCGUGGAUUAGGCAUGCAAGUCGAGCGAGAACCGUAGCAAUACGGGGACAGCGGCGAAAGGGACAGUAAUGUGUAGGUACCUACCCCUGGAUCUGGGAUAGCUGCGGGAAACUGCAGGUAAUACCGGAUGAUGUCUCCGGACCAAAGGUGUGAUUCCGUCUGGGGAGGGGCCUGCAUCCUAUUAGCUAGUUGGCGGGGUAACGGCCUACCAAGGCGACGAUGGGUAGCGGGUGUGAGAGCACGACCCGCGUCAUUGGGACUGAGACACUGCCCAGACACCUACGGGUGGCUGCAGUCGAGGAUCUUCGGCAAUGGGCGAAAGCCUGACCGAGCGACGCCGCGUGCGGGAUGAAGGCCUUCGGGUUGUAAACCGCUGUCGUAGAGGAGGAAAUGCAGGGGGGUUCUCCCCUUUGUUUGACCUAUUCUAGGAGGAAGUACGGGCUAAGUUCGUGCCAGCCGCCGCGGUAA
rnacentral:rRNA from 1 species